rnacentral:rRNA from 1 species
UACAGGGGGUGCAAACGUUGCUCGGAAUUAUUGGGCGUAAAGCGCGUGUAGGCGGCCAUCUAAGUCGGGCGUGAAAUCCCACGGCUCAACCGUGGAAGUGCACUCGAAACUGGAUGGCUAGAGUCCUGGAGAGGAAGGUGGAAUGCUUGGUGUAGAGGUGAAAUUCGUAGAUAUCAAGCGGAACACCGGUGGCGAAGGCGGCCUUCUGGACAGUGACUGACGCUGAGACGCGAAAGCGUGGGGAGCAAACAGG